UAGCUAUGUGGCAGGUGUGUGCGGGUCUGUCCCCCUCAGCCAUGUGGCAGGUGUGGGCAGGCCUGUCCCCCUCAGCCAUGUGGCAGGUGUGUGCAGGUCGGUCCCCCUCAGCCAUGUGGCAGGUGUGGGCGGGCCUGUCCCCCUCAGCCAUGUGGCAGGUGUGGGCGGGCCUGUCCUCCUCAGCUAUGUGGCAGGUGUGGGCGGGCCUGGCCCCCUCAGCUAUGUGGCAGGUGUGGGCGGGUCUGUCCCCUUCAGCUAUGUGGCAGGUGUGAGCGGGCCUGGCCCCGGGCUCUGGGUUAGCUGGAGGAGGAGCCGCGCCUACGCGGACACUCCGCUCUGCGAUGAAGCGGGGCCGCUGGCCCAGGACGCGCCGCCAGGUCUCACCGCCUCCACUGAUGAAGGAAAGUGAGGCUGUGGUCCAGACAUGAACUUGGUGCAGUCACCAAACCUGCAGAAACACAAGUUCUGUUGCAGCAACAGAAAAGCGUCGGUGCUACGGCGCUCUGAACCGGCCUACAUGUUCCUUAGUUUGUCUUUCUGCCAAAGCACCUGUGUUCUGAGGAAAGCCUCCCCCGCCAUCCGGAUAAGUAGACAGAAGAAAACUACCAACGUCUCCUGGACAUGUGCGUCCCUGUGUGCCUCAGGUGUGGAGGGCCGGUCGUGCGCGGAAUGUUCCUUUGCCCCAAAUGUCGAGCGUUCCCCAUCAGCGGGGUGUCCCCAACCAGACACAGCAGUGCCGGGCUUUCUGGGCUCUUUCUCCAUCAGUCCACAGGCCGGAGGGUCCCAGGAUUUUGAGUUACGAGGGUCGAGGGUCGGGUUCACGGACCUGCCUGGGCCUGUGCUGAAGGCAUGGGGCUGGGGGCGCAGAGGGGCGCAGAGCCUUCAGGGCCGUGCAUCCUGGCACAGUGCGGUCCAGGGCCGCGGGGCGCUGCCUGCCCGCCAAGUUAGCCCAGGUGCCACAUCGAAGCCCCUUCCCUGGCACUGCAGAGCUGAUGUCCCGGAUGUAAAGGUGGUGAGCCGCCUCGGGUGGGCAGCUCGGAGCCCCUCAGAGUGGGAGCAUCCUGCCUGGAGGAGGAAGCGCCUGGAUGUCUUGGCCCUUGUUAGAGGCUCUGCUCAUGCUGGGAAGGCGAGGGAAACGAGGCAUCGGGCGCCUGGGGAAAGCGGGUCAGGUAAACUUCCAUUUUGGACACGUGCUAACCCACGAUCCACUCUCCUCCGCACUGAGGUCUUGCCUGGGGUCCUGGCCUAGGUUUUGGCGUUUGGGUGUUUUGUUUUGUUCUGUCUUGUUCCUUUCCUGUUUUUGCUGCUCUGUAAGCCCUCCUGCUACGAAUGUUCUAGUUACCCCAACUGUACUGUAUGUAUAUAUGUGCUGCAUGUGUGAGCCCCAGUACAUUCUGUUUCAGGUUUCUGGAGUUUCCAUCUUCAGUACAGCUGGUCCUGUUGUGAACUCAUGUUUCUGGUAUGCUCCUCUGUGUCUGAUUCCCAAUUGCCAAAAUGUUUGACCAAGUAUGUUUUGACAAAUGUCCCCAGACACCGGUGCGUAUCCUGGUGAAAGGGCAUGCUCUGUGUGGGACGACUCGUGUACAGCAUAAAUCUAUCAGAUGUGGAAGCGUGUAUACAUUUAUAUGCCAGAUACCUAACAUUCAUGUAACAGCUGCAAAGAUAUUUAAUGUACAUCGGAUUAUUAAUAAAAGAGCUUUUUUGCUCCGUUAUAUUCA
rnacentral:lncRNA from 12 species